GGUCAAAGCGGGCCACUAUACAUAAGCUCGCGCCUUGAGAUGAGCCUGCGGCCCAUCAUGGUAGUUGGUAGGGUAACGGCCUACCAAGCCGAAGACGGGUAGCUGGUCUGAGAGGAUGAUCAGCCACACUGGAACUGAGACACGGUCCAGACUCCUACGGGAGGCAGCAGUGGGGAAUCUUGCGCAAUGGGCGAAAGCCUGACGCAGCGACGCCGCGUGAGUGAUGAAGGCCUUCGGGGUUGUAAAAGCUCUGUGGAGGGGGACGAAUAAGGGUUGGCUAAUAUCCAACUUGAUGACGGUACCCCUUUAGCAAGCACCGGCUAACUCUGUGCCAGCAGCCGCGGUAAGACAGAGGGUGCAAACGUUGUUCGGAAUUACUGGGCGUAAAGCGCGUGUAGGCUGCUCGGAAAGUCGGAUGUGAAAGCCCUGGGCUCAACCUAGGAAGUGCAUUCGAAACUUCCGAGCUGGAGUGCUGGAGAGGAAGGCGGAAUUCUCGGUGUAGAGGUG
rnacentral:rRNA from 1 species